AGAAGACAGAUUGCAUAAAAUAUAAGAGAAGUACAUGUUACACAAAUUAAGGGUUUAACCUUAAUCUCUAAUUUAAGUUUUAGCCUAGGUAAUUAAUUAAUUAAUGUUGUAUUGAUCCUUGUGUUUGUAUGAUUGUAGAGACCGUCCUGGAGUGUUUGUGCCGCCUGAUUUCUGGGACUACACACCAAUCUCUCUGGCUGACCAUGCAAUAAGUAUUUUGCAAUUACGUCUGUUUGGUCAUUAUCCAUGCAGGCCGAAGAAACUGAGAUACUUAUUUAUGAGGACAUAAACUUUGCACGCAAGAACCUGGAAAGUCCUGAAGGU